UCGCGAUUUUUUUCCGCAGUCAAGUUCGCAGAUUGUGAACACCCGCAUAAAUAUUAACCGUACUUGAUGCUGUACACACCAUUAUACUAUUAUAGCUACUAUUGUUACCUAUUAUCGCUAAGUUCGCAUUACAUUCCAAUACAAGCGGUAAAACAGUAACAGGGUUAUUAGUUAAUAUGGUGACUAUAAUUAUUAUGGUCUACAAACAGUUUCUACCAUUCGCCGUCUAUGUUACCACAAGCAAACAUUGCCCAACCAUAAAAGUUGUUGUACCUCAAUUUGGCUGGCUGCGAAAAAGUAAACAUGGCGGAUGAAGUAAGUGUGGCUAAGUUUCCCUGUAUGAAAAGUGUUUUCCGGGUCAAAACUUCUUGAUAUUCGUAUAAUUCGUUAGAUGGAGUCGACCAGGGACUCGACGAGGCAGUGCGAAGCAGCAUCCCAGAAAAGUAUCCGCAGCGGCCAGCUGGAUGUCCAUAUUCUUACAUCAAUGUUUGUAAUGCCUACCGGAAGAUUGGGCAUGUGGAUUCUUCAACCGGCUGAUAACGAAAUGCUCCAACAGAUAGACACCGUUUCGGUACUCUCACGCAGUUACGGAUGGUAGGUGAAAAUAUUGUUAUUGACCAAGAGUUGCAGCUAAAUUUGUUUUUUCUUUUUAGAUUCUGAUAGCCGCAGCCGGUUUCGGAACUGCUCCGAAAAGAAUCAUCCGAUUGGAGCCAGCUCGUUGAGGUGUACAUGACAUUUAGAUGUAACACCACCUUCCCGCGAAUCCGCUCCAAGCACGCUCUUGAGAGCUCCGAAGACGUUGGUGAAAAUAAUGAAUAUGCAGUGGCUGUCUUUUCCAUUUUCAGAAACAUUUUGUAACAAAUGAGAUAAAUAUUUGAUAUUUUAUAUAAGUACUAUCCCGGAUACUAUCAAUAAACAAAACUAAUAAGUAAAAAGGAA